rnacentral:rRNA from 1 species
CCCUUAGAUGUUCUGGGCCGCACGCGUGCUACACUGAGUGGAUCAGCGGGUCAGGUUGCGCGAAAGUGUUUCCUAAUCUUGAAAUCCGCUCGUGAUGGGGAUUGACGGUUGCAAUUUUCCGUCAUGAACGAGGAAUACCUUGUAAGCGCGGGUCAUCAUCCCGCGCUGAAUACGUCCCUGCCCUUUGUACACACCGCCCGUCGCUCCUACCGAUUGAGUGGUCCGGUGAGGCUUUGGGAUCUGAGCGGAAAGAGCGUUUCGCUGUUUCUGCUCGGAAAACUCAGUCGAACCUUAUCAUUUAGAGGAAGGAGAAGUCGGAACA